GAGAGGCAGCUGGGCCUGGAAGUGGAGACUGGGGCAGAAGGUGGGGGGAAGAGGUAACCGCCGGCCCCAAAGAGCACACAGAUACUCUGUGCGGGGUUGGCUAGUUUAAAUACAUAAAACACCUAAAGUCUGAGACAACAUAGUCCACAGCAGAGAAAUAAAUUCUCCUCAUAUGUACACCCCAUGCAGCUUCACAAUGGAAGUCAAUGAAGAGUAUGAGAUCACACUAUGAUCUAUUAGUCUGCGUGACACAGAGGAAACAGCUUUCAAAGACAAGAAGAUCAUAAUAUAAGGGGAAAGUGGUGUUUCUUCAUCAGAUAUAAAUCAGGGAAGCCUUGGAAAGGAUGAGGAGUGGUAGAUCUGAAAGAAAUACUCAAGCAGGUAUUGGAAGUCAAGUGAAAAAUUUGGAAGAGAAACUCCAAGAAAGCCCCACAAGGCUAGCAUCGAAGGCAAAUGCUUGAAGAAAAAUCUGGGAACUUUCUCUAAUGUUUCAGCUUUUUAAACCAGCCUCAACUGGCCUUAUAUUGUGGAGCCAAGAACAUUUCAAGCCAUGGCCAUGAGGAGCUGUGGGUACCUGGCCUUCUCAGAACAUUCAGUUUUCAUUUUUUAAAAAGUAAAUCUUUAGUCCCUUUUAUUUGUAUUCUGCCUAAUUGUUCACUAAGAAGAAAGCUUGUUUCCCACCUUCCAGUGUUCUGACCAAUGGCCAAAGGAAUGUCCAUGUAUCACAACCAUUAAGCCCAUAUUUAAUUUAUGCUAUUUUCCACAUUUAAUUUUAAACAUAAUUUAUGCAAUUUUGAUUUAUAAAAAAUAAAUUUUAUCAUAGUUGUUAA